AAGACUUUAAGUUAAACUAAAACUAUUAGCCUUCAAAGUUAAAAAUAUUGAACAUCAAUAAGUUUUA
rnacentral:tRNA from 1 species